GACGAACGCUGGCGGCGUGCCUAAUACAUGCAAGCCGAACGAGAGCGACCGGUGCUUGCACUGGUCAAUCUAGUGGCGAACGGGUGAGUAACACGUGGGUAACCUGCCCAUCAGAGGGGGAUAACAUCCGGAAACGGAUGCUAAAACCGCAUAGGUCUUCGAACCGCAUGGUUUGAAGAGGAAAAGAGGCGCAAGCUUCUGCUGAUGGAUGGACCCGCGGUGCAUUAGCUAGUUGGUGAGGUAACGACUCACCAAGGCCGUGAUGCAUAGCCGACCUGAGAGGGUGAUCGGCCACAUUGGAACUGAGACACGGCCCAAACUCCUACGGGAGGCAGCAGUAGGGAAUCUUCCGCAAUGGACGCAAGUCUGACGGAGCAACGCCGCGUGAGUGAAGAAGGUUUUCGGAUCGUAAAACUCUGUUGUUAGAGAAGAACAAGUGCUAGAGUAACUGUUAGCGCCUUGACGGUAUCUAACCAGAAAGCCACGGCUAACUACGUG
rnacentral:rRNA from 1 species